GUUGUUCUUGGAGUUCAUCGAGCAUCCAUAGCUGAAAAAGAACRUUUAAGGUUAUAUGCUGCUUUCCUAAUCCCCAAUUUAGCAAAUCUUCCAAGGAAAAUGAUACAGUGCUCCUCAAGGCUCAUACAAGUGCUCUUCAGCAUGCACUGCGUCUCUGAACUUCCAUGAGCACCUUUGAGCAAAUACAGCACAACCACRGGGGACCUGCUCUGCAGAGAUACCAGUUCUCACUGCACCCCUGGAGCAGUCUACCACAUUUGGACAGCGUUUCAUCUAGAGGAGUGAUAGUUUCACUGAAGAAUAGUCUGAUUAAUCUGAUCUCCUUGCUGAUCAGGACUGGAAAAUUCCCUGCAAUUCUGUAUUUUCUUAACAACCACAAAAGUGCAUAUGGAUGGAUGACUAUCCAACUAUCUAUGCAGUAGAGGUUGAGAUCUUCAAUACCACACUUGACCUACUCCUU